AUUGAACGCUGGCGGCAGGCCUAACACAUGCAAGUCGAGCGGAUGAAGGGAGCUCGCUCCUGGAUUCAGCGGCGGACGGGUGAGUAAUGCCUAGGAAUCUGCCUGGUAGUGGGGGAUAACGUCCGGAAACGGGCGCUAAUACCGCAUACGUCCUGAGGGAGAAAGUGGGGGAUCUUCGGACCUCACGCUAUCAGAUGAGCCUAGGUCGGAUUAGCUAGUUGGUGGGGUAAAGGCCUACCAAAGCGACGAUCCGUAACUGGUCUGAGAGGAUGAUCAGUCACACUGGAACUGAGACACGGUCCAGACUCCUACGGGAGGCAGCAGUGGGGAAUAUUGGACAAUGGGCGAAAGCCUGAUCCAGCCAUGCCGCGUGUGUGAAGAAGGUCUUCGGAUUGUAAAGCACUUUAAGUUGGGAGGAAGGGCAGUAAGUUAAUACCUUGCUGUUUUGACGUUACCAACAGAAUAAGCACCGGCUAACUUCGUG
rnacentral:rRNA from 1 species